rnacentral:rRNA from 1 species
AGUGAACGCUGGCGGCGUGCCUAAUACAUGCAAGUCGAACGGAGUGGCUCACGGGUGAGUAAUGUAUAGCUAAUCUGCCCUACACUAGAGGACAACAGUUGGAAACGGCUGCUAAUACUCUAUAGUGUAGGAUGAGGCUAUAUUGUAUCAGCUAGUUGGUGAGGUAAUGGCUCACCAAGGCUAUGACGCAUAACUGGUCUGUGAGGAUGAUCAGUCACACUGGAACUGAGACACGGGCCAGACUCCUACGGGAGGCAGCAGUAGGGAAUAUUGCUCAAUGGGGGAAAACCUGAAGGAGCAACGGCGCGUGGAGGAUGACACGUUUCGGAGCGUAAACUCCGUUUGUUAGGGAAGCGGUACCUAACGAAUAAGCACCGGCUAACGCCGUGCCAGCAGCCGCGGUAAUAC